GGUCGGGUGGCGCAAUGGUAGCGUGUGUAAGUUCAGACCGAGUAUCCGCAAUGUGAUCUAGCCAAUUCUAAUAUCGUUUGUAGAGGACUCCUAUUCAAAGCGAGUCACUUUCAAUCCUGAGGUUGUGGGUUCGAGUCCCACCUCGAUCG